CGUCGAGCAAAACUAGCCGACUUCCUCAGCCUCGAACGAAACGUCUCAAUCGCUUCAUUGGCCGUCUUCCUGCUCGGUCUCGGUGAAGAACUCUGGAAGAAAUUCCUUCCGAAAUAUCUCGAAACACUCGGCGCGAGUACGCCCAUCAUCGGACUGUUUGGGACGGCUGAGAAUUUUCUCGAUGCCACUUACCAGUAUCCGGGUGGCUGGCUGGCGGACCGUCUCGGUCGUAGACGCGCAUUCGUAGUAUUCAUCGCGUUAGCGGCCA
rnacentral:misc_RNA from 1 species